CCUACGGGAGGCUGCAGUGAGGAAUAUUGGUCAAUGGGCUUACGCCUGAACCAGCCAAGUCGCGUGAGGGAAGACUGCCCUAUGGAUUGUAAACCUCUUUAGGCGGGGAGCAAUGCCGGGCACGUGUGCCUUUUUGUAUGUACUUUAUGAAUAAGGAUCGGCUAACUCCGUGCCAGCAGCCGCGGUAAUACGGAGGAUCCGAGCGUUAUCCGGAUUUAUUGGGUUUAAAGGGAGCGUAGAUGGGUUGUUAAGUCAGUUGUGAAAGUUUGCGGCUCAACCGUAAAAUUGCAAUUGAUACUGGCAGUCUUGAGUACAGUUGAGGUAGGCGGAAUUCGUGGUGUAGCGGUGAAAUGCUUAGAUAUCACGAAGAACUCCGAUUGCGAAGGCAGCUUACUAAACUGCCACUGACAUUGAUGCUCGAAAGUGUGGGUAUCAAACAGGAUUAGAUACCCGAGUAGUC
rnacentral:rRNA from 1 species